GUGGCUUGGCCCAGUCUCAUCCAGGAAUUAUUUUCUUUCUGGACAGGAAGAAUCUUGGUAGGAAAGAGCCCUUUGUCCAUCGGCUUAAAUAAGUGUCAUAGGACUGCUGCAGAAGCUUACAAGACAACAAACUUAAUAUCACAAAGACGCCUUCUGAAAAUGGUGGAAUGCAGAGCAACUGCAAUUCACUUUUAUCAUAGUAUUUCCUUAGCUAUGAUUCCAGAGAGCCUAUUAAACAGAGGUGGGUACAUGUCAAUGCACUGCAGAGGAAAAGAAAUGAAAAGAUAAGAAAAGGAAAGAAAAAAGAAAAGAGAAGAAAAGAAAAAUUUCCCCAAACCCAAUAAAGAAAUAAGUGAUUAGUGAUUUCUUUUUUCC
rnacentral:lncRNA from 1 species